CGUCCCUCAUGCUGUGUGGAUCUCCCUGUGUUUCCCUGGACAAAUUGCCUUCCUCUGAUGUGUGGUAAUCUUUAAACUGCCAGCCCUGCACACAAACACAGCAGCUAACAACAGCUCAGGGGUUUUUCAGUGCUGCUCAGAAGAUCUUACCCCAGAUCAAGAACUUCUUUCUCCCUUCAAAGUGCUCUGAAAUAAGUCCUCCAGUGGAGGCUCCCACAGUGGAAACACACAAAGGUUCACGGCGCUCAAAAAGUAGCUUGAUUUACUUGAACGGACUUCUCAUCUAUCUUAGUGUUAUCUAAAAAGACUUACCUCAAGGACAGCUGGCUUUUUGUAGUUCUUAGUUAACACUGUUAAUAUGAAAAAUUGUUUAAAUGUUUAAUGUCUCAUCUGUAUUUUACAUGUAAAUGUGUUUUGUUUGUGUUGUAAUCAUUUACAGGUUUACAUGAAAACAAAAACGUUCACUGUGGUGUAUGAGAGCUUAGAAUUAGAGAAACAUCUUACCUGCAUAAGCUACACACAGAGGCCCUCUGUGUGUAGAGUAAACACAUGACUUAACACCAAACAGCAGCAUGUGAAAGAGAACAUGAUAACAUGAAGCCUUAACAUCACUGUGGAAAGUUUACAUCUAAUAGUAAACAUAAUAUUUCCUGAAAUGGAAGGCUGCUAUUAUUCUAUGGUUUUCCUCAAUGCUAAAAAAAAAUCCUCUGACAAGUUGUGUUAGCGCAUCUUCCAGUACUUUGCUUUUUUGCAGAAAAAGACAAAAAGGUUGAUGGGUUCAGCACUAUCCUGUUAGCCCUGCUUCCAGGCUCUGGCAUCAUGUUGCAGGAGUGUGGCCCACUGGCUGUACACUGCAUUCCAGUCUGUGUUUGGUGUGGGUAGAGGAUGUAAGGUAACUCACAAUGAUGGAGUAGCUGAUGACAUACCCAAUAGAGGUUCUGAAGGACUAGGCACAAACUUUCAAGGAGAUGUUCAUGUUUAGGAGGGUUUGGAGGAAGAUUUCACUCUGGCGAGCUUGGCUGAUGACACUGGAUAUCCCAUUUUAGGCUGCUGAUGAUAGUGGUUUCCAGAAACUUCAGACUCUGCCACCUUUGCAUUGUUGAUAAGCAGUGGGGAGAAUGGAAGUGCAGACAAGUAGGUGCCCAGCUACUGACCUUCCCCUGUGGCUUCCUGUUUGGAACUCUUUAGUGUACUCCCAGAUUACUGUGGAGUAGUCUGGUGCAGACGUUCACCAGAAUAUUGGUCAGGCAUGCUAGGACAUCAAUAAAGUACCAUAAUCUUUCAUACAUGGAGAUAAGUCAAG